AAGCUAGCUAUUGAGGUUGGAGAGUCCAAGUCUAUAUAUGCCCACAUUGAAAUCCCAUUCUUUCAAUGUGGGGCGCAAGUUUUCUUGCAAUGGGAGCAUAACAUAGCAGCAAUGAGUCUCUUUUGGAGUUUAGUAGUCAAUCAAGAGCUGAUUGUUUUAUUGGUGGGAUAAUAGGCGGUGAUUUGAUAUUUGAUCAACCUUUGAGAAGUUGUGAAAGGCUGCAAACUGUGUUGGUGUUUGAAGAUAUGGGCCAAGUGAUGGUUGACGGAAAAUGGGGGAGGGAGAGAGAAGCAGCAGCCACAGGAAGAAGAAAGAAAGAGAGGAAAAGUUGGUGACUACAACAGGAGCCUGCCCAAUGGUUACAUGUGUCUAUUCCCUUGCUCAAUUCACUCAUUUUUAGACACGGACUGUGAAAUUUAUGUUAUGAUCUUUCCUGGGUUGUUCUUACCUGCUUAUUUAUAUUAAUUCUAAUAUUCAAUCUCAAACUUUCAGACCAUUCCAGAUCUUUGUUGGGAGCUGGCUCAACUCCAAGACACGUAUAUUUUGCAAGGUGAUUAUGAUCUGAAGGUCAUGCGACAAGAAUAUUAUAUUAGUCGACAGAAAACGGUACUGUUGUGAACUUCAUAUGUUAAUAUCUUUUCAUUCUUUUCUUCUGCAAAUAAUAGCUUGCUAGACUGCUAAUUCUAAAGUUAAUUAGCUCUAGCAGUAUCCCUACUACACUCAUGCCUUAACCUCUCUUUCCCUUCAGGGCCUGUAUUCCAUUUUAUCCCUAUUCAGAAGCAAUGUUUUUUGUUAAAUUCAUGUAAUAAUGUUGUAAAUAUACUUUCAGUUGGUUUUAUGUUAACUCAGAGAGAUUUCACACCAUGGGAUAGUGCAAUUUGUGAAUGUUAGUUUAUCACAUAAGACUACCAGCUUCUUCUGCACUAACAUUACAAUGAUCCUAAAAAAAAUGUAUAAUUUGAAUGGAUCUGGAUAUAGUUUGCCAAGUUCACAAUCUUAAUUUCUUGUUGCAGUAUAUAAAUCAUCUAAUCAAUCAGCUAGCGAGGCAUCAGUUCUUAAAAAUAGCUUGUCAGUUGGAAAAAAAGGACAUGCUUGGAGCAUAUUCAUUACUUAAAGUUAUCGAGUCGGAGCUUCAGGGGUACCUGUCAGCAACUAAAGGCAGAGUGGGUCGUUGCCUAGCACUAACUCAAGCUGCAUCUGAUAUACAAGAACAAGGAGCAGUGGAUGAUCAGGAUACUCUUAUGCAUGGUGUUAGAGACCUUCUAAGCAUUCAUUCAAAUGCUCAAGCUGGAUUAUCAACAUACGUAUCAGCUCCAGGCAUUGUACAGCAGAUUUCUGCUCUUCACUCUGACUUGAUGACCCUACAGGCUGAUCUUGAAAAUGCUCUUCCAGAAGACAGAAAUAGAUGCAUUAAUGAACUGUGCACACUUAUUCAGAGUUUACAGCAAUUACUAUUUGCAUCUUCAACGACUGCGCAGCCAAUAUUGACACCGCGUGUAUGACUUUCUCAUCACUUUAUUUAAUCCUGCAUUUGCUGUUACUUGCACUUAUUUUUAUGUUCAUUGGUUGUUGGUUUUCUGCAUGCUUUUGGUAGUUUAGGCUUUUAUAACUCUUUAUAUCAGAAAUUUUCAUGAUGCAAUGAUGAAUUUAGAAGAUUAAUAGUUAUCCAUUUUAACAUUCUUAUUUCUGCUAUGCAAAUUUUGUAUGCAUGUUACUUAACUGCCUAACACAUCAUGCAUUCACAGCUAGUCUACCUGUGCGGUCUUAUAAAAACUUUCCCUUCAAGCUUCAACUUAGCUGGCAGUUUGUGAUUUCAUAGGACUCACGUCACAUUUCUUCACGUCACCUUUCCUAGUUUAAUUCUGUGGUUGACAUCUCCCACACUUUUACCAUCAUUUAUGAUGGAGCCUAGGUAUAUAAAAAUAUGUUUUUGGUGGAACAUUUAUGCAACGAGGCUAAUCCCACUUUGCUUAUCCCCUUUCCGUGACUGAAAUUGCUGUUCGUAUAAUUUGUUUUAGUUCUACUUAAUUUAAAAUCUUCAUUGGGAUUUCUUAUUAAAUACUAAUUUUGAACUGUGGCAUGAAGUAAUAUGUUCCAGUUUAUUUAAUGAAUUGGCCCGUUAUUUAUGAAAGCUUAGAUCUGAUUCUUGAGGCUUUUGGAACCAAAUUGACUUUGACGUAGGGAAAUCACCUGCGUUGAAAAUAAUGGAGUCUAAUGUAAAUCUUGAAUGCCAACCUGUUUCAACUCAUCAUAAGGAUGCUUGUGGUGGGUCUACUCUCAACAUAACUACCUGGCCUUGUUUGAAAAUUCAGUUUCUACCUUUGCAAGAGUCCUCACAGUUCUUGUUAUGAUUUUAGAGUAGUUUUAGAAUGGUUGCCUUUGAAGAGAGAUUGCCUUCAUGUGCUUGGUUAUAAAAAGGGAUUUGGGGACGCUACAGGGAUUUAAAUGAAGUGAUAGGAAUAGUUAGUAACAUUUUUCAGCUAGAUGUGGGUUUUAAAAUUUCCCACUAGAAUAUCACAUCUGAUAAAUUAUUUUAUUUUAUUCUAUCUUACACUCACUGUCAUGCUCAUUUUAAUGUCUCCUGUGUGUGAUUCUUCUGUAUUCUAAUUUGGUAUAUUUGCUCCAUGAUGUGUGCUGCUCUUUUAGCCAUUAAUGGAGGAGCUUGAUGAAAUGGAAAAGAUAAAUGCAAAACUCUCUGCUGCAGUUGAAGAGGUCACCCUUGAACACUGUAAAAAGAAUGAGGUAAUCUUAGUUUGAUUGUCACUAUCGUUUAGCUGGUUAAUUUCUUCCAGUGAUUGGACCAAUACUUCUGCACUGGUGGAUUCCUGACAUGAUCUUCUAGUGCGCUUAUUUGAAUAUUGUAUGGUAUAAGAGCAACUCACAGACUCCUCUUAUCAUCCACCUCAAAAUUUUUGGAAAACAGAUGCAUCUCCUUAUCGGACCACUCUAAAUUAAAUUAACUUGCCAAAUGCCAAGUUUGGGUACUGUAUUCCAGCAAUGUAUUUGACUACAAAAAGCGCAUUUGGAUACAAGGACUUUGAAGAUAAUAAAGAGUGAUUAUAUCUAGCAUCUCAUAUUAAUAAAGAAACUUAAAAGAAAAGAGAAGAAGAGAUCAUGAUGUCAGUUCUUAGGCUAACACAGAUACACCUCUGACUGCUUUAAAAGAAAACUUGUACAGUGAAAUUUCUCCAUUCUGGCAUAGAUAAAUUCUUGCGGUUUCAUUCUUUUACUGUUCCAUGAAUAACUAAUUAAUGCUGUGCAAGAUACAAAGCAUAAAAAUUCUUCAAUAAUUCUGUUAUUCUUUUCUGGGUACUAGUCUCUGAAUUGCAAUCUUAAAUUCUCAUCAACAUUCUUUAUGCCAUGUAGAUUGUAAAACAUCAUUCACAGGAGGUUGGACUUCAACGCCGUGUUUUUGUUGACUUCUUCUGCAAUCCUGAACGUUUGAGGAGCCAAGUUAGAGAAUUGACUGCAAGAGUUAGAGCUUUGCAAGUUUCAUAACCCAUUCAUUCACAUAUGCACUCCAAUUCUUUUGCUUCCUUUUUCUCUCCCGACCAACCACAAAGGGGGGAAAUGCACAAAGAGACUACUGAAUCACUGCAUGUAGAGUUGUCAAUCUGGCCCCUGUAAAGGAUAUCGUAACUGCAUUCCCAUCUUCUGUUGUUUACAAAUGCCAAAAGCUUUUUAUUAGAUAAGGAAAUGGCUAUCAACUUGAUAUGCUAAUGUUAACCUUCUAUUUGAAACCAUUGUUAAGCUGGCUGCAAACGAGCAUGUCUACAUUAUAAAAUGUGCAUGGAGAAAUCUAUGCUUUCCACUCUUCCUCUUCCCACUUUUGCA
rnacentral:misc_RNA from 1 species